rnacentral:rRNA from 1 species
AUUGAACGCUGGCGGCAGGCCUAACACAUGCAAGUCGAGCGGAUGAGCGGAGCUUGCUCUUGGAUUCAGCGGCGGACGGGUGAGUAAUGCCUAGGAAUCUGCCUGGUAGUGGGGGAUAACGUCCGGAAACGGGCGCUAAUACCGCAUACGUCCUGAGGGAGAAAGUGGGGGAUCUUCGGACCUCACGCUAUCGGAUGAGCCGAGGUCGGAUUAGCUAGUUGGUGGGGUAAAGGCCUACCAAGGCGACGAUCCGUAACUGGUCUGAGAGGAUGAUCAGUCACACUGGAACUGAGACACGGUCCAGACUCCUACGGGAGGCAGCAGUGGGGAAUAUUGGACAAUGGGCGAAAGCCUGAUCCAGCCAUGCCGCGUGUGUGAAGAAGGUCUUCGGAUUGUAAAGCGCUUUAAGUUGGGAGGAAGGGCAGUAAGUUAAUACCUUGCUGUUAUGACGGUACCAACAGAAUAAGCACCGGCUAACUUCGUG